AGAGUUUGAUCAUGGCUCAGAGCGAACGUUUGCGGCGGGCUUAACACAUGCAAGUCGUACGGUGAUCCCUUCGGGGUGAUCAGUGGCGCACGGGUGCGUAACACGUGGAUAACCAACCCUUUAGACUGGGGCAACCCGGGGAAACUCGGGCUAAUACCGGAUGUGACGUCGGGGGCUACGGCUUUUGACGGGAAAGAAGCAAUUCACUAAAGGACGGGUCCGCGGCCCAUCAGCUAGUUGGCGGGGUAAUGGCCCACCAAGGCGAAGACGGGUAGCUGGUCUGGGAGGAUGAUCAGCCACACUGGAACGGAGACACGGUCCAGACUCCUACGGGAGGCAGCAGUGGGGAAGAUUGCGCAAUGGGCGAAAGCCUGACGCAGCCACGCCGCGUGAGCGAUGAAGGUCUUCGGAUCGUAAAGCUCUGUGGGGGGAGAAGAAACCUGACGGUAUCCCCUUAGCAAGCACCGGCUAACUCCGUGCCAGCAGCCGCGGUAAUAC
rnacentral:rRNA from 1 species